AAGUAUCGCAAAUCACAUUUCAUACCUUUACAUUUUUGGUACUAUAUUUAGUAUAAAUACGAUGUGAAGAAAAUCAAACAGAACUGGUCUUCAUGAAUACUUUUUGAAUUUAACCGAAACUGAAAAUUUUGAAAACCAAAGAUAUGAAGUGCGGAUCAAAAUAUAAUUGGGCAAUGGCAAUGGUCUUACGUCUGCAAUGUUGUUUGUUUGUCAAAAUCAUAUUAUGUACAUUAAUCUUCACAUUUAUCAUUCAAUGAUAUAUUUAUAUGUUAUAGCUUUUUAUUUUUGCUCAUCAUAUGGAACACGAGCAUUUAAACACUAUCCAUAAUCUUUUUUACUCGAAUAACCGGAAAUAUUAAGAAAGUGAAAGGAAAAUGGUGAACAAAAGUACUGCUUCUGUUAUAAGAAACACUCUCAUAUAAGACUUUUAUUCUGCCACACCAGCCAGUUAGGAUUUCAAAAUGAAAGGAGAAUACAUUGGCCAAAGUGAAUGGAUCUACAGCAAAAGAAAACCUUGGAUGGCACAGGGAUUGGAUAUUCUUGAAAGCGACGACCAGUAAAACGUUCUUUUUGCUUAGUAUUCGAGAAGCCUGGCUGAGUUUCAAACUUUCAUGAAUGACCAUGACUGGACGUGGUAAUGGAAUGGGAGUUGAUUAUUAUCUGGAAAAACUUCGGUGCGUUUCGGGCUGUCUGGUGUACCGCCUUCUGUUGCCAAAACCGCAGCGCUAGUGUGGGUGUGACAGGAUAAGCUGCCUAACGCUGUGGAUUAUCGCAAGGAAUACUUCAGUUCGCCAUACUGUUGAGUCUCUAGCAUCCACGACCAGGUAUUUCCACCGAAAAUUGCCGCUUUUGGAGGGUUACUCAUUCUAUCCCAUCAAACGAACUAUUUGUGAGAUUCGACGGGUCUUUUACAAGACAGUCUUCAGGACGAUAGAAAACAAUGAACAGGAGGUGCUAUUGCGAUCAAUAUAACUGCCCCGAAAUUCACCAAAUAUUUAUUUCUGUUCUUGAAAACAUUUCCGCGACGAUGAAAUAAAAAUUCCAUGUAUCAAACGGUCACCAGAUCCAAUUACCUUAACAUAUCUCUGUUGAGCGUUAGUUUGGUAAAGCUAAUAAGGAUUAUGCAGUUAAUGCAGCCCAUAGUUUGGGUAUGAAAAUGUGCUUCAAUUGUUGCCCGACUAUGAAAAAUAUGCUUCAACUGAUGCCCGAUUAUGCUCAAACCAAAGACUUAAGACAAUAGUGAAACAGUGAAAAUAAGAAAAGAUAUAGUUUUUGCACUGCUUAUGUUGUACAUUAAUUGCGGCUAAUCCAACGUGAUAAUAAGUUCUUUUUAUAAUUCUUAAGUCGUUAAGUUUGAUUAUACGUGUUUUAUUGUUAUGGCAUUGAAUAUUACAUAAUAUGAAUUUUAUGAGAUUUCAAAUAAUAGCUGCAGAUAUUUCAGUUGCUUUUUUGAAUGAUUGCAACUACAACUGUAUUCUUGUAAUUUCAUAUUUUUAUGUGUAUAAUAAAAGAUGUGCUUUCCAUAA